ACAGCGUUGAAAGAAUGCUCUAUUAGAAUAUCUAGCAGAGGCUGUGAUCUGGUAUUAAUCUGUUAUUGCUUUCUUUGGGAUUAUUUAAUCUACUUUCCAUUCCCAGGAAGGAAUGUUUUAUAGGUUAGUUUUAACAUGUUACAAAAAGUCAAUGUGAUCUCUGUCUCACAGAAGCUGCUCUGUCUAUAUCAGGAACGCCAUGUGAGUUCCACAGCCUAAAUGAGGAGAAAAGCAGCAUUCAAGGUAUGGAGACUGUCAUUUUCUGCAAUCACCACAUGGAAUCAUGAUUAGGAAUCAUUAUUCCUUGUUGCAAAAUUAGGUUAAAUGACUCUUCUACCCACUAAAGCUUUUAUUAUCAGAUUUCUGAUUGUCUCCUUUCAAUCUCAUGGCAAAACCUCUGAAAGAUGACCAGACAUAAUUGGGGAUGUAGAAAAUUUUAGCACUGAUGAGAACAAGAGUUGUUACAAGGACAUAUAACCCUUUCCUUCUGUAAGUGUUUCCUGAGUGCCUACUACUCACCAGGCGCCAAGGUAGCUAGUGUACUGCAACUCUGAGCAAAACAGACUGAGCUCUCCGCACGUGGACUGGACUCUUUCUCUAUAGUAGAGAAAAAUCUGAUAAAAGUAAGCAACAAUAAUAUACAUAAAUCGGUCAGGUGAUAAGUACCCAAAUCAUUAAGCACUUUAUUUUUUCAUCAAAGAUAUGUGAAAUCUGUUUUUCAUACUUUGAGUACUGUUCAUUAUUUAAUUUAAUUUUUGGAAAG